AAGAAAAGUAGUUUGAAGGGUGGAGUUGUAUGUUUGUCUGCCUGGUUGCUUACACCUUCUGAGGGAAAUUGGUAUUUUUGGGGAAAUCUGGAGUGACAAACUACUUAGAAGAAGCGUGGAGGCGAGCAUGGAGACCAUGAAAGCAGAACUGCCUUGUUAGAGGAACUGCGAUUGAUCACAAAGCCAGGAACAGCAACAAAAAUAAGAAUAUCUGCUGAAAUGUAUGAAUAUGAUGAGCAUCUGAAAUCUUGUAACACCUGUACAGCAGCUGCUGUAAUGUGGUAGCAGUGCAGAGUGAUCAGCUGAAUUGAGG
ensembl:lncRNA